rnacentral:rRNA from 1 species
UACGUAGGGUGCGAGCGUUGUCCGGAAUUAUUGGGCGUAAAGAGCUUGUAGGCGGUUUGUCGCGUCUGCUGUGAAAAUCCGGGGCUCAACCCCGGACUUGCAGUGGGUACGGGCAGGCUAGAGUUCGGUAGGGGAGACUGGAAUUCCUGGUGUAGCGGUGAAAUGCGCAGAUAUCAGGAGGAACACCGGUGGCGAAGGCGGGUCUCUGGGCCGAUACUGACGCUGAGGAGCGAAAGCGUGGGGAGCGAACAGG